rnacentral:tRNA from 1 species
GGAGGGAUGCCCGAGUGGUUAAAGGGGACGGACUGUAAAUCCGUUGGCUAUGCCUACGUUGGUUCAAAUCCAACUCCCCCACCA